AGAUAUGAUGCUGCAGCCAAGGAUGACUUGCCGAUAAAUUCUUUCUCUAAUUUGACUUUCAAUUCAUGUUUGUCAAUUGAUAGUGCAUUAGUUCUAAUAUAUGCAUUUGAUUAUAUAGAACACUAUUGUGAAAGUGUCUUUAGGGAUAGGGUAAAUUCGGCAAGUCAUCUUUGGCUACAUGUCUAUCUCA
rfam:Glycine soja cultivar W05 scaffold1529_5, whole genome shotgun sequence.